rnacentral:rRNA from 1 species
UACGUAGGGUGCAAGCGUUAAUCGGAAUUACUGGGCGUAAAGCGUGCGCAGGCGGUUAUGCAAGACAGAUGUGAAAUCCCCGGGCUUAACCUGGGAACCGCAUUUGUGACUGCAUAGCUGGAGUACGGCAGAGGGGGAUGGAAUUCCGCGUGUAGCAGUGAAAUGCGUGGAUAUGCGGAGGAACACCGAUGGCGAAGGCAGUCCCCUGGGCCUGUACUGACGCUCAUGCACGAAAGCGUGGGGAGCAAACAGG